UGAAUACGAGAUGCUACGGCGUCGAAGCAGUGUAUGUCAGACUUCCAAGAAAAGCUCGCAAUGUCAUAAAUAAAGAAUGCCUGUACCAUAACCGACACAGGUGGGUAGGUAGAGUAUACUAAGGGGCGCGAGAUAACUCUCUCUAAGGAACUCGGCAAAAUAACUCCGUAACUUCGGGAGAAGGAGUGCCUUCUUUAAGAAGGUUGCAAUAACAAGAUCCAAGCAACUGUUUAUCAAAAACACAGGUCUCCGCUAAGUCGUAAGACGAUGUAUGGGGGCUGACGCCUGCCCAGUGCCAGAAGGUUAAAGAAGUUGGUUAGCUUUUGCGAAGCUGAUGACUGAAGCCCUGGUGAACGGCGGCCGUAACAAUAACGGUCCUAAGGUAGCGAAAUUCCUUGUCGGGUAAGUUCCGACCCGCACGAAAGGCGUAAUGAUUUGGAUACUGUCUCGGAGAGGGACUCGGUGAAAUAGACUUGUCUGUGAAGAUGCGGACUACCUGCACCAGGACAGAAAGACCCUAUGAAGCUUUACUGUAACUUGAAAUUGAAAUUGGACUUUAUUUGCGCAGUAUAGGUGGAAGGCGUUGAAAGUAAUCUUGCGGGAUUAGUGGAGCCAUCAGUGAGAUACCACUCCUAUAAUGUUAGAUUUCUAACUUUGGAUCAUGAUCUGGUCAAAGAACAGUUUCAGGCGGGCAGUUUGACUGGGGCGGUCGCCUCCCAAAUGGUAACGGAGGCGUACAAAGGUUUCCUCUGAACGGGUAGAAAUCGUAUCUAGAGUGUAAAGGCAUAAGGAAGCUUGACUGUGAGACCUACAAGUCGAGCAGGGACGAAAGUCGGUCUUAGUGAUCUGACGGUGCUGAGUGGAAAGGCCGUCACUCAACGGAUAAAAGUUACUCUAAGGAUAACAGGCUGAUCUCCCCCAAGAGUUCACAUCGACGGGGAGGUUUGGCACCUCGAUGUCGGCUCAUCGCAUCCUGGGGCGGUAGUACGUCCCAAGGGUUGGGCUGUUCGCCCAUGAAAGCGGUACGCGAGCUGGGUUCAGGACGUCGUGAGACAGUUCGGUCCAUAUCCGGUGUAGGCGUUAGAAUAUUGAGAGGAGCCUUCUUUAGUACGAGAGGACCGAGAAGGACAUACCUCUGGUGUACCAGUUAUCGUGCCAACGGUAAACGCUGGGUAGCUAUGUAUGGAGAGGAUAACCGCUGAAAGCAUCUAAGUGGGAAGCCCACCUCAAGAUGAGUAUUCUCAUCACGUAAGUGAGUAAGGUCACGGUAAGACUAACCGUUUGAUAGGCAUUAAGUAUAACUAUAGUAAUAUAUGAGCUGAGAUGUCCUAACAGACCGAGGAC
rnacentral:rRNA from 1 species